GGAGAGGGCUGGCAUUGGCUUCACGGGACAGGGGAAGCUUCUAGCAGCUUCUAACAGAAGCCACCACUGUAGCUCCCCACCACUACCAAAACCCAGCCAUAGAAACCCACUACAGAAGGACAGUCAGCAGGAAAUGAAACAAAUGAGAU